UACGAAGGGGGCUAGCGUUGCUCGGAAUCACUGGGCGUAAAGCGCACGUAGGCGGAUUGCUAAGUCAGGGGUGAAAUCCUGGAGCUCAACUCCAGAACUGCCUUUGAUACUGGCGACCUUGAGUCCGGGAGAGGUGAGUGGAACUGCGAGUGUAGAGGUGAAAUUCGUAGAUAUUCGCAAGAACACCAGUGCGAAGGCGGCUCACUGGCCCGAUACUGACGCUGAGGCACGAAAGCUAGGGGAGA
rnacentral:rRNA from 1 species